rnacentral:rRNA from 1 species
GACGAAGGGGGCUAGCGUUGUUCGGAAUUACUGGGCGUAAAGGGCGCGUAGGCGGCCUGUUAAGUCGAACGUGAAAUCCCCGGGCUCAACCCGGGAACUGCGUCCGAUACUGGCAGGCUUGAAUCCGGGAGAGGGAUGUGGAAUUCCAGGUGUAGCGGUGAAAUGCGUAGAUAUCUGGAGGAACACCGGUGGCGAAGGCGACAUCCUGGACCGGUAUUGACGCUGAGGCGCGAAAGCCAGGGGAGCAAAGCGGGAUUAAGAAAACC